rnacentral:lncRNA from 1 species
GGCGGCCGUCGGGUGGGGGCUUUACCCGGCGGCCGUCGUCGUGCCGUCGCGCGCGUGCCGCGCGCGUGUUGUGUGUGUGUGCGUGCCCCGCGCCGUGGGGGCGGGAACCCCCGGGCGCCUGUGGGGUGUCCGCGCUCGCCCCGUCGUGGGCGGUGCGCGGGUCUCCCCGUGGAAGUGAAACCUUCCGACCCCUCUCCGGAGUCUGGUCCCGUCACUUGUCUCGCUGGCCGGCCCGAGGCAACCCCCGCUGGGGGCGUGCCGUGCCAGGAGGGCCUCCCGCCGUCGGGAGCGCCCUCGCCACAUUGACCUCGUACGACUCUUAGCGGUGGAUCACUCGGCUCGUGCGUCGAUGAAGAACGCAGCUAGCUGCGAGAAUUAAUGUGAAUUGCAGGACACAUUGAUCAUCGACACUUCGAACGCACUUGCGGCCCCGGGUUCCUCCCGGGGCUACGCCUGUCUGAGCGUCGCUUGCCGAUCAAUCGCCCCCGGGGGUGCCUCCGGGCUCCUCGGGGUGCGCGGCUGGGGGUUGCCUCGCAGGGCCCGCCGGGGCCCUCCGUCCCCCCAAGCGCAGACCCGGCGACGUCCGCCCUCCCCUUCCGCCGCGCCCCCGCCUUCCCCCUCCCCCCGCGGUCCCUGCGUGGUCACGCGUUGGGUGGUGGGGGGGAGGGGGGCCCGGCUGGGAGACGGAGAAGGGAGGGCGGCGCCGCCGCCCGCGAAGAGGGAGAGGGAAGAGAGAGCCGGCUCGGGCCGAGUGCCUGUGGCCGCGGCGGCCGCCGCCGCCGCCACGGCCCGGGCUCCUCCCUCGGGGGGCUCCCUCGCGCCGCACGCGGCUCGGGGUGCGGGGUUCGUUGGCCCGGGCCGGGUGGAAGGUCCCGUGCCGCCGCCGUCGUCGCGCGUCGGCGGCGGCGGUGGGGUCGUGGGUCGUGUGUCGUGGGGGGGGGGGGCGAGGAAAGGUGAGGUCGGAGGGGUUGCGCGGGGAGAGGUCGGGGGAGCGCGUCCCGGUCGCCGCGGUUCGCCGCCCGCCCCUGGUGGCGGCCCGGCGUCCGGCCGACCGCCGCUCCCGCGCCCCCUCCUCCCCGCCGCCGCUCCGCACCGCCACCGUCCACCCCUCCCCGCCCGGCUCGCUCCGCGCGUCAGGGGCCGGAAGCCCGCCCCGCGGCCCGCCCGGCCGCGCUCGUGGCCGCGUUCCCGGGGUUUGCGUGCCCCCGGCGGUGACCCGCGGGACGCCGCGGCGUCGUCCGCCGUCGCGCGCCCGCCUCCGGUUCGCGGCCGCGUGGUGCCGCGCCGGGGCCCCGUCCCGAGCUUC